CUUCCGGGUGGUGUUGUGUAUUGAGUUCAGCAUGUUUCUGGUUUACACAAAGCUUUCGGGGGGAAAUUGAAUAGUUUUACAAAGCCGAAGGGUUUUCCGACUUACGAUGGAUGAAUUUCAUGUCAUAAAAAAUUGGGUGCGAGCGUCCACCAGGAAUAUUUCGAUCGAAAUACAGAUUUCUCUUGAACCCGAGAUGUUAUUAUCAGCUGAUUAUAGAGGAGGAGUUUUGUCAUGGAUGUACCAACGUCAUAUUUAUGAUAUUGUGGCUGCAUCACUUUUGUUUGGAGGUACAAGA